CUAGGCGACUUUAAACAAUUCUAGGAUCGCUAUGCAAGUCGGCCCACGUAUGUGGUGCCGGCGACACUUUCGAAUUGACGGGGAUACCCUAAAGCCUGUCGCACCAACUCUGUGUGGGAAACCGCUGGAGGGCCCGUGCUAACUACACGGGGUGGUAACAGACGACAUGGAUAACUCCACGCCUUUUUUGGUGUGGAUACCAUGGGCAAUCCGCAGCGAAGCCUCUAAGUCCGGCCGUCGGAUACGAGGAACGUUCACAGACUAAGUGGAAGUGGGUGGAGCGUUCGCCGCUCUGCUUAAGAUAUAGUCGGUCCCCUUGGGAAACUAAGGGGGUGAGUACACUGCUCGAAAUUUAAACUUGAGCGCGUCUCGGAUGGCGCUCAUGUUAGAAUUUUGAGACUGUCGAUUGCCUCGCGGUUUGACAGCUCUUAAAACGUUCCGUAGGUGAACCUGCGGAAGGAUCAUUACAGAAAGUAAACGCGGAUCAAACCGCGAACUUCUAAACCUUUGACGAUUGACUCAUGUUGCCUCGGCGGGUUCUCCCGCCAGAGGAUAGAUCAAAACUCCUGUUUUAACGGUGUUGUCUGAGCUACAAGCAACGAAUCAAAACUUUCAACAACGGAUCUCUUGGUUCUGGCAUCGAUGAAGAACGCAGCGAAAUGCGAUAAGUAGUGUGAAUUGCAGAAUUCAGUGAAUCA
rnacentral:misc_RNA from 1 species